UACGUAGGGUGCGAGCGUUAAUCGGAAUUACUGGGCGUAAAGCGUGCGCAGGCGGUUCGUUGUGUCGGCGGUGAAAGCCCCGGGCUCAACCUGGGAAUGGCCGUUGAAACUGGCGAACUGGAGUGUGGGAGAGGGGGGUGGAAUUCCGCGUGUAGCAGUGAAAUGCGUAGAGAUGCGGAGGAACACCGAUGGCGAAGGCAGCCCCCUGGGCUGACACUGACGCUCAGGCACGAAAGCGUGGGGAGCAAACAGG
rnacentral:rRNA from 1 species